GGGGGUGUAAUGGAUUUGACAUGCAUAAGGUUUAUUAGACUGCAGUACUAUGGUAGAGUAUAAGACCACUAGGCUUUUUCAAACGGAAAAGAAAAACAAUUAGAAGUUUCUCCUUUAUUAAUGAGUUCUUCACAAUCAAAUCUAGUUUUUGCUUAAUUAAAAAUUAGUCGCUUCUAAGUGGUGUUGCUACAUUUAUAAGUGUUGUUUAGCAAAUAUAGUUUUAUGAUCUAAUUAAAUAAGACCGAAUAAAAAAUUAGUUAAUAUAAAUGUUUUUAGUUAAGUUUCGAUUUUAUAUUAAUAUCAAAAUUUAGCUAAACUGUAGAUGUCUCUUAAAUUUUAUGUGUGGACCCGGGUUCAACUCCCGGCAUCUCCACCA
rnacentral:tmRNA from 1 species